rnacentral:lncRNA from 1 species
CUACCUCAGCUCUCCAGUCUCCACAACCACAACACACUAGCUAGCUGGUUAUUCACUAGAGCCAGCUCAAGUCCAUUAGCGAUGGAGCACUUCAACUACAAAGCCCUAGCAGCAUUAUUGUCCGCCACGCUGCUUCUGCUGCUGGCACCUCACCUCAUGGCCGCCGACCCGGACCCUCUCCAGGACUUCUGCGUCGCCGACCUCAACGGCAAGCCCACGGUGAACGGCUACCCGUGCCAGCCUUCCUCGUCGGCCGGCGACGAGUUCCUCUUCUCGACCAGGAUCGCCAGCGGCGGGGACACGCUGGCCAACCCGAACGGCUCCAACGUGACGGAGCUCGACGUGAACGA